ACAACCCACCGUCGCCUACACCAUGGAAAAGACCUUGAUAUCGCUGGCUGCUCUGCUAUUGAAUUCAGCCUGAUUGGGCCACAAAAGCAUUUGGAGCCAUACUUAGGUGAAACUGUGGUCAUCCCUCCACUGUCGGAGAGGCAGUCGUUGCUGCGUUGACCUCGACCCCACAGCGUGACCCCCGUCGGAGGGCUCAGACCGCAGGGGAUGUGAUGGCCGUUCAUAUGCUGGAGCUCUGCUUCUCCACCCAGAAAACUUCACCUCCUCCUCUCUGAACGGAUCCCCACUGGUCCAGCUCCUCUGCGGGUAAACAUCUGGGCUGGCAAAGGAGCAACUCAG